GGGCCUAUAGCUUAAUGGCAGAGCACUCGGUUUGCAUCCGAGAAAUCGGGGUUCGAUUCCCCGUAGGUCCACCA
rnacentral:tRNA from 2 species